GGGAACCUGCUCGGGGAGCAGCGGGGCCCUUCUGCUCUAAUCUAGCUUCCGUACCCACGCCUUAGGAGCUAGCCGAAUUCGAAAAACUCUCGGAUCAGGUGAAGAUCAGUGAAGAAGGUCAAGGGAUUGGUUCCAAAAUAAUCAAAAAGGUGGCUGAGGUGGCCUUGGAUAAGGGCUGCUCCCAAUUCCGCCUGGCCGUCCUGGACUGGAACCAGAGGGCCAUGGACUUGUACAAGGCCCUAGGAGCCCAAGAUCUGACGGAAGCUGAGGGCUGGCACUUCUUCUGCUUUCAAGGAGAGGCAACGAGAAAGUUGGCAGGAAAGUGACGCCAUCCCUAGGAGGAUCUCUGUCUUGAGUUUCUCCUUCCCCAUCAGCUGAAGCACUCUUCAGAGACUACGUCCACAGACACUGAUGCUGAGGCCUCCCUGGAGGAAGGAGGGUUAGGGGUGCCUAUCCUCAAGUAUUGGAAGAGCAGAAUUGAGGGAGAGACCUUUCUUCCUUGUUGAGGGUGAAAAAUAAAUAAGAAUUACAUGUC
rnacentral:lncRNA from 1 species